rnacentral:lncRNA from 10 species
AUUGGGAUUUUUGUUCAAAGGCCCAUGAAUUAUUGCUACUUUAAAUUUGCAAGCAAAUUUAUAAUUGGAUCCUGAUGUCCCAGCACCCAUAAAUAUUUUAUAAUAAUUGUACAAACAACACUUACAUUAAGGACAUGAACGAUUAAAAUAGGGAGACCCCCAUCUCUACCAAAAAAUAGGAAGAAGAAGAAGAAGAAGAAGAAGAAGAAGAAGAAGAAGAAGAAGAAGAAGAAGAGGAAGAACAAGGAAGAGGAGGAGGAGGAAGGGAGGAAGAAAAGAAAAAAUAUUAGCCCGUGGUGGUGGCACACACCUAUAGUCCCAGCUAUUUGGGACGCUGAGGCCAGAAGACCCCUUGAGGCCAGGAGUUUGAGGCUGCAGUGAGCCAUGAUUAUGCUACUGUGCUCCAGCCUGUGAGACAGAGUGAUAUCUUAUGUCAAAAUAAAUAAAUAAGUAUUGGUGAAAAUAUAAUAGGAUAAAAUUGCAAGCCAUAGGAAAUGGAAGUCUAGCACUUACAGAGGGAUGGUAAUAUUGUGAAGCAACAGUGUAUUGAAAUUAUGAAAUAAGAGUUUUUCAUGCAAAUGUGAGGAAUUUGCUGAGGACAAGUAAGAAGAAGGCCAAUUCCUAUUGUGCAAAUCCUCUGGUCACUGGCUUCAACUAAUAAGGACAAGCAAAAGCAUAGGAAGUCAUUUCCCUCCUACAAAGAUCAUUGCAAUGAAUGGGAACUGGUGCUUUCUGUGGCUCACGCCCAGUGGGUCUGAGGGGAAAUAGAAUCAAUAAAACUUUAAACAUAGUAAGUGCUAAAUGAACACUUCAUGAAUUGAAAGCUGACUAGAAAGCCAGCUAUGAAGACAUAUUCUAGAACCACUGGCUGGGGAGGAAAAAAAGCACACCGAAUAAAGCACAAGCUGC